GCCAAUGUAGUGUAAUGGUUUGAGCAUUGGACUAGGAAUCUAGGAGCCCAGGGUUCAAACCUCUGCUCAGCCA